GAUGAACGCUGGCGGCGUGCCUAAUACAUGCAAGUCGAGCGAACAGAAGAGGAGCUUGCUCCUCUGACGUUAGCGGCGGACGGGUGAGUAACACGUGGAUAACCUACCUAUAAGACUGGGAUAACUUCGGGAAACCGAAGCUAAUACCGGUAAAUAUAUUGAACCGCAUGAUUCAAUAGUGAAAGACGGUUUUGCUGUCACUUAUAGAUGGAUCCGCGCCGCAUUAGCUAGUUGGUAAGGUAACGGCUCACCAAGGCAACGAUGCGUAGCCGACCUGAGAGGGUGGUCGGCCACACUGCAUCUGAGACACGGUCCAGACUCCUACGGGAGGCAGCAGUAGGGAAUCUUCCGCAAUGGGCGGAAGCUUGGCGGAGCAACGCCGCGUGAGUUAUGAAGGUCUUCGGAUCGUAAAACUCUGUUAUUAGUGAAGAACAAAUGUGUAAGUAACUAUGCACGUCUUGACGGUACCUAAUCAGAAAGCCCCGGCUAACUCCGUG
rnacentral:rRNA from 1 species